rnacentral:rRNA from 1 species
UACGUAGGGAGCAAGCGUUGUCCGGAAUUAUUGGGCGUAAAGAGCUCGUAGGCGGCUUGUCACGUCGGAUGUGAAAGCCCGAGGCUUAACCUCGGGUCUGCAUUCGAUACGGGCUAGCUAGAGUGUGGUAGGGGAGAUCGGAAUUCCUGGUGUAGCGGUGAAAUGCGCAGAUAUCAGGAGGAACACCGGUGGCGAAGGCGGAUCUCUGGGCCAUUACUGACGCUGAGGAGCGAAAGCGUGGGGAGCGAACAGG